UAUAGGGAGACCCAAAUCAAGUAAAAAGAACCAAGUAAAAAGUAAAAAGAAAGAGAAAAAAUCUUUUGACUUUUGACUUUUGACUUUUGACUUGAUGUAUCCCGAGGUCGGUCGAGGAAAAGUGAUUGGCUUUCAAACUAUAGAUUGGUUCGAGAAAAAUUGCACAAGCGAACAACAAAAUACCGUUGUAAUUGGGCAAACAGUCAAAUCGAUUGUUAUACUCUCUAACAGUGAGUGCAAAUGUAAUGUAUUGUGAAAAAGCAAUACCAAAUUCCAAAAAUUGCUCCAGCAAUCUUGCUUGAACCAGUAAGACUGCUGGAUGAUAUCCAGCCAGAACCUUGAAAACUGCAUAGUAACGCGAAGCAGGUAGACACAGACAUUGUAUGAUUGCAUAAAUGAAAGUGUUUGCUUUUGAUAGAUAUCACCAAUUGUGAAGU
rnacentral:misc_RNA from 1 species